GCUUCCUUCUCUCCUAGGAUUCUACAGCAAAUCCACCCUCUCAGCUCAGCCCAGCCCUGUCCUGACCUCAGGAGGUGGUCAGCCCCCAGUGACCCCCCAGGACAUCCUGAUUGCAGGACAGAUCCGUGAGACAGCCUCCCUCUCGGUGCAACCAGGC